rnacentral:sRNA from 1 species
GUAGAAGAGGGGAGGAAACAAGCCAGUGCAAGGGGAGCAAAAGAGAAAAGGAGCCAGGCUGGGCUUCCUGAUCCCACAGCAUCGCAGAGCUCGGGAGGCACAGCUCACAGACACAGGAAACACAGGACUGCUAUUCUGCUCUCCUGCCCACGGUGAUCUGGUGCCAGCUGGUGAACGGUGGGUGAUGGCAUCCCUGCUGCAAGACCUCUCAAUCUCUGAUGUGGACACAAUACGUAAUGGCCAUGAUUCCGAGUUGCUGCGUAGCCUGGCAGAGGAGCUCCCCCUGGAGCAGGGCUUCACCGUUGUCUUCCAUGGCCGCCGCUCCAACCUGGACCUGGUGGCCAACAGUGUUGAGGAGGCCCAGAUGUGGAUGCGAGGGCUCCAGCUGUUGGUGGAUCUUGUCACCAGCAUGGACCAUCAGGAGCGCCUGGACCAAUGGCUGAGUGACUGGUUUCAACGUGGAGACAAAAAUCAGGAUGGUAAGAUGAGUUUCCAAGAAGUUCAGCGGUUAUUGCACCUAAUGAAUGUGGAGAUGGACCAAGAAUAUGCCUUCAGUCUUUUUCAGAGUAAGGACAAAAAGAAGAAAUCCAAGCCCAUCUUGUGUCCAGCCCUCUCUUCCCUGGUUAUCUACUUGAAGUCUGUCUCAUUCCGCAGCUUCACACAUUCAAAGGAGCACUACCACUUCUACGAGAUAUCAUCUUUCUCUGAAACCAAGGCCAAGCGCCUCAUCAAGGAGGCUGGUCAGGACCAAAAUGGAGGGAUGGGGAGGGAAGUGGGAUGGAUAGGUUCAGGCCUGAUGGACUGGCAGGUAAGUCCCAAGAAAAAAGACAAGGUAGCUAAGGAGAGAUGAAGGAGUUCA